CUGGGAAACUAAACAUUGGUUGGAAGUUUUCUGACCGUGCUGCAGUCCGGGGCCGUAUUGGUGGAGACAUAAUGGCAAUUAUUGUCAGUUUGCUUUAGACAGCAUAUACACUAGCAUCAGUGCGGACAGAACAAAACUUCUCGAUUACUUAUCAGUCACAGAAGACAUGGAAUUGAGUGAGGUACUGGUGAUUUAUUACAGGGUAGUGUGGUAUAACCGUAUGAUAAAAUCUGCUCCAAAAUCAUGGAGUGACUGGUCAUGUGUACUCCUGACUUGCGACUCUUGCCAAAAAUACCAGUUGUCCGUAACCCUUCAACUGGGAAAAGUGUUUAUCUGGAUUGCUUGAAUGUUUGUUUAUAACUUUCGCAGUGCUUGAAUAUAUGGGUAGACGAUGUGUCAUAUAUUAAACUUGCCUAAGUUGAAAGGCUUGCAAAUUAACGUUACUGUGUGGACUUAAAAAUCUUUCCUGACAUACUAAUGACGUUGUGAAGUAUGAUUCCAGACUGAUGAUUGGAUAGCUCCAUAUAUAAGGAGUCGAGACAUUUAAGGACGAGCUUCAGCUGUCUUGCAUCAGCUGUCUUGCAUCAGCUGUCUUGAAGUACUAUGCUGCCAGACAGCCACCUGAGGAGAUAAGACCACCUGGACAACUGAAAGCUAUCAAAGGCUUAAACAUAAUCGAGAGCAUGGGACUAGAAACAUUGUGGAGAGAUGCUGACAUCCCCAAUGGCCACUGUAGACGAUUCCACAUCAAAGGAAAGGGACUAUAGUGAGAUGAUGGUGAUCUGACAGCAAAUACAUUAUAUAUAUUUCUUGGAACGAACUGUUCUGAUACUCUGAAGAAGACUGGCUUGAAAUGCUGGAAUCAAUCUUGACAACUUAAUUCAAUAGUCUUUUGCCUACAUUGUACCCUCUGUCGAAAUAUGUUUUUGCUUAAGAUGAACUGUGAU